GACGUAGGGCGCGAGCGUUGUCCGGAUUUAUUGGGCGUAAAGAGCGUGUAGGCGGCCAGACAAGUCUGCUGUGAAAACUCGAGGCUCAACCUCGAGCUGUCGGUGGAAACUGUCUGGCUAGAGUCCGGAAGAGGAGAGUGGAAUUCCUGGUGUAGCGGUGAAAUGCGCAGAUAUCAGGAAGAACACCUAUGGCGAAGGCAGCUCUCUGGGACGGUACCGACGCUGAGACGCGAAAGCGUGGGGAGCGAACAGG
rnacentral:rRNA from 1 species